rnacentral:misc_RNA from 1 species
CAGAGUAUCGGGGCCCUCUGGGUUCCUACUCCCACCCCAUGUGUACCCAUCCUAGUUGCUUUGGCGGGUCGUUGGUUUUUGGCCACCGCCGGCUUUAUAGCUGGUGAGUACCCGCCAGAGGACCCUUAAAACUCGUUUUAACGGUGGUUCUGAGUCGAUUUUGAAUGAAAGA